rnacentral:other from 2 species
GUUGAGCUGCGGGGCUCGUUAGGAGCCUAUUUCCCCUGGGCCGAUACCAACCGCUCGGGAGCUGUUCCUGGCCGGGGUCGUGGCCCCGGACACACGGCGCCCACCUACAUGUGUAGGGACCUGGCGGGAUACUCUGUGCUCCGACGGCCUUCGCGGCUCUGAA